CUGGUUUGAAAUUGUUCACACUACUUGUCUCUGUCCUUGGACAAGACACUUCAUCUGCAUUGUUUUAGUCCACCCAGAUGUAAAUAAGUACUGACCUUAUCUAGGGAAGUAGCUUACAGUGGACUGGCUUCCCCUCCGGGUGGAAGUUGUAGACUCUUAUCCACUUCACACUACUUUGGCUUUGUCUCUUUUUUGGGUUCUGCAUCCUUCAAAGGUUGCGUUCUAUAAAGUUAGGACCAUGUGGCCAUGGAGGCCAAAGUAAAGUAACCAUUCUGAAAUGAGACUGUGUAGCCCAUGGAGCAUUUUUGCAAUAGCAUCAUUAACUUAGCCUUUCCCUACCCCCUGUCUCCUCGCAACCUUGACAGCUGCAAGUGACAAGCUAGCAUAGUGGGCAUAACCUGUAGUUUAGUAAUUAUUUUUCAAUACUUUUUAAACUUAUA